rnacentral:rRNA from 1 species
UCGAGAAUCUUUCACAAUGGGGGCAACCCUGAUGGAGCGACGCCGCGUGGAGGAUAAGGUCUUCGGAUUGUAAACUCCUGUCAUGCGAGAACAAGGUAGUUGGGUUAAUAACCUAGCUGCUUGAUGGUACCGCAAGAGGAAGAGACGGCUAACUCUGUGCCAGCAGCCGCGGUAAUACAGAGGUCUCAAGCGUUGUUCGGAAUCACUGGGCGUAAAGGGUGCGUAGGCUGCGCCGUAAGUCAGAUGUGAA